UAGAUUGAUGCUCGCUGGUUUGAGCGCUUACCUGUUAACUAAGAUCUUAUAGGAUCGAGGCCUAUCUUUCUAG
rnacentral:tRNA from 1 species